UCCCGUAAGGGAACCUGCGGAGGGAUCAUUA
rnacentral:rRNA from 1 species